UACGAAGGGGGCUAGCGUUGUUCGGAAUUACUGGGCGUAAAGCGCACGUAGGCGGAUCGGUCAGUUAGGGGUGAAAUCCCAGAGCUCAACUCUGGAACUGCCUUUAAUACUGCCGAUCUGGAGUCCGGAAGGGGUGAGUGGAAUUCCGAGUGUAGAGGUGAAAUUCGUAGAUAUUCGGAGGAACACCAGUGGCGAAGGCGGCUCACUGGUCCGGUACUGACGCUGAGGUGCGAAAGCGUGGGGAGCAAACAGG
rnacentral:rRNA from 1 species